UACGUGAGCAGCAAGCGUUUGUUCGGAGUUACUGGGCGUAAAGGGUGCGUAGGCGGCUUUUUAAGUUUGGUGUGAAAUCUCCCGGCUCAACUGGGAGGGUGCGCCGAAUACUGAGAGGCUAGAGUGUGGGAGAGGAAAGUGGAAUUCCUGGUGUAGCGGUGAAAUGCGUAGAUAUCAGGAGGAACACCGGUGGUGUAAACGGCUUUCUGGACCAUAACUGACGUGAGGCACGAAAGCGUGGGUAGCAAACAGG
rnacentral:rRNA from 1 species